UCCUAAUCCUCAGUUCACUCAGCCGCCCAUCACCCCUCACUCUCCUCACCCAUUCUCACUCACUCUCAUUGUCGGCCCUUUGGCUCUAUCACCACCUCUCUGAUUUGUUACAGGUUCUUCAACUAUGCUAGGAGAUUGUACAAUUCAAACAAUUCUUGAUGAUGUGGAGCCUAAUGAAGAGGAUGGAAGUUGUGUCACAGCUGUGGAGGAUUAGACUUGUUGUGGAGAAUUAGACUUGUUGGAAUAAUUUAGUAGCUUUUUAAUUUCUUGGACUUGUUGGUUUGUAAUUAUCCUAAACUUGUGGGAUUUAUUUUGUAGUUUUUCAAUUUCUUGAACUUGUUGAAAUAACUUGUUGAUUUGUAAUUAUUCUAAACUUGUGGGAUUUAUUUUGUAGCUUUUUGAACUUGUCGUAAUAGUUUUAGAUUUGGAUUUGUGGGGUUUA